AGAGGAGAGUGGAAUUUUGUGUGUAGGGGUGAAAUCCGUAGAUCUACGAAGGAACGCCAAAAGCGAAGGCAGCUCUCUAG
rnacentral:ncRNA from 1 species